rnacentral:lncRNA from 1 species
AUAAGGUGUAGGUGAACAUGUUGCCUCAUCUGAGGUGAGGGGCAAGGUUCCCUUCAUUCAAAGUAAUUCAGAGGGAAGCUUACCCAGAAGAUUUGUGCAUUUAAGAGUUUCUUCUCAUCCUUGGUAGGGGGAAUAUGCUCUGGCAUAUGUAAUCUGCUGACCUGCACCAUGCAUGAUGUGGACUAGAAUGCUAAAAGAGAGAAUAUGGAAAGUAGAAGGACAUGAAGAUUUAGUCUGUUGAGAUGCUUUACUGAAGGAUUAAAGGAUCACUUCCCCGUGACUGUGAAAUGUCCAGAUUCUCCAGGCAUGGUUGUUACCCAGCUUUCCAGUCUGAAAACCCUGCCCCUUCUGGACUUCCUUUUAGAAGCUUAGGUUUUGGAUUGACCACGUUGUCCAUUGUCCCUUGGGAACUUUCAAUAGUCUGCAUCCAGCCUGCACUGGUUCUGGGAUUUUGCUUUCUGCAACAUGCAGAAGCAGUCUGUCGGAGAAGGAAGCUACUUAGCCUAGGCUUGUCAGCAAGGAUCUUUUGACCUUCCUGCUAUGUGGGCCAGGUGCCCAAAUGUCACUGCAUCUUUGUUCUCACACCUGAUUAUCAACUCAUCCAAGGUUCCUUGCGAAGAUACCAGCAUGCCUUUGUUGACUGCAGUGCUUACACUGCACAGAUGUUUAAGACACUGCAUCCAGCAGCGCAUUACACCCCAUCAUAAACUAUCUUGAGCCAGAUAUGAAAUACAAACAGUGAUCAUUAGCACAUGCCUCCAAGUUCCUCAGGUUUUUUUAUUCUAUCACAGGUCUCUCAUCUAUGUAAUCUGAUUUGAUUUAAAAGAAAUUGUCCUGUAAAUUAACCGGAGAACAACUGAUAGGGUAAACUAGCAUAUGGUCUCAGAACCACUAUUUCCACACAAGGAGAAUAGCCUCAUCCUCAUUCUUCCCUAGAUACAAAGCUAGUGAUUUGGUGACAUAUGACAUCCAGUUUCUUAAAGUUUAUCACUCUUUCUUGAUACUUGUUGCUGAAAACCUCUCUUAAGUACUAGCACAAUACCUAUCAGUGUAUUCAUAGCUUCAUAUAGCUUCAUCCCCGCUUCUUUCUGUAUGCAAACUCUACCACUUGCAUCUUUUGCACAAUGCUUAAAAGCAUCUUCUAGAAAAGGUUUGGGGGCAAUUAUAUGCUGACCAGAUCAGUCACCCAAAUACAAGUGACACUCAAAUUUCUUGCUAUUGGCACCGGUCCCUCCAAUGCACCCAGGCCUCUUUAUGUUUGCUUACUGGAUCAUGCUAUCAAUGAAAACUAAACACCUGAUAGCAAGCUGAUAGAACUGUUACUGAAAUGAGUCUGUAACAUGCAAGGUCAAGUAGUGGCAUCCCUCUCCAUGGCUGCACUGAAAUAUUCCACAGUACUGAGAGUUUGGAGGUAGAGCUAACCUAGCCCAGUGUAAUAACGUGUUAAGAGCUGAUGUGCAAAUAUUUAUGGUGUCUAUGUAGAACUGUUACUAAGGUGGAAAGACACGUAUAAACAAUUAUCUAUCCACU